ensembl:lncRNA
CUUUAAUACAACCCAGUACCUUACAGCCAACUCAUCACAGUCAUAUAGUCAUUGAAAGGUAUAGCUAUGGUAGGUAGGUAGGUAGGUAGGUAGGUAGGUAGGUAGGUAGAGAGGUAUAGCUAUGGUAGGUAGGUAGGUAGAGAGAGAGAGAGGUAUAGCUAUGGUAGGUAGAGAGAGAGGUAUAGCUAUGGUAGGUAGGUAGAGAGAGGUGUAGCUAUGGUAGGUAGGUAGAGAGAGGUGUAGCUAUGGUAGGUAGGUAGAGAGAGAGAGAGAGGUAUAGCUAUGGAGAGAGAGAGAGAGAGGUAUAGCUAUGGUAGGUAGAGAGAGAGAGAGGUAUAGCUAUGGUAGGUAGAGAGAGAGAGGUAUAGCUAUGGUAGAUAGAGAGAGAGAGGUAUAGCUAUGGUAGGUAGAGAGAGGUAUAGCUAUGGUAGGUAGGUAGAGAGAGGUAUAGCUAUGGUAGGUAUAGAGAGUUGUAGCUGGAGCUAAACUGCAACAUCCUGCUAAUUGACCCAUAAAGGAUCUACAAUAGAAGAAGUGAUGUUAUUGGAGCCAGAAGCAGACAGUCAGCACAGCCAGUCGGCUACAGAUCGGGACAUGCACAGCCAUUUAAUAGUUACAUUUGGUGCAUUAUAACCGUGUUCAAGUGUUAAGGUGAACCCCCCCCAUCCCCCUCACUUUGAACACAACUUCCCCUGUACUGCUGUUUGGAAGCAGGCGGAGACUCAGGGAGCAUUGAGUACACCAGGGCCUGGGUUUUGAAAACCUUAAGAAAUGUUUUGUAAAUCCAGGCACUGCAACUUUGGUAUUAGGUAAGAGAAUGGCACAAGGCUGGCUUGAGCAACGAAAGGAAACGAUGUGCAACAACUAGACAGAGACAUGUCCUGAGAAACAGUGUGUGGGCCAUCCUGCCGACUUCAACACGCAUUGUUAGCUUAGCAGACCUGGGACCAGGCAACCAGAGGCAGACCUGGGACCAGGCAACCAGAGGCAGACCUGGGACCAGGCAACCAGAGGCAGACCUGGGACCAGGCAACCAGAGGCAGACCUGGGACCAGGCAACCAGAGGCAGACCUGGGAC